CUCAAGAUUCAACAUUCAGCACAUCUGUUGCAUGCCAGGCUGUGGCACUGACAAGUAUAAUGAAUUCGAUUUUAGUCAUACGAUAAUGUCCGUGAUGAAUAUCCGGGUGGGAAUUUCCAGUAGGCAUUUGGAGAUGCAGGACUGGUAGAGGGGAUAAAAGUCAAGGUAGAAAUAAUGGAUUUAUGAAUCAAUUCUAUUGAAAUCAUAGGUGUUAAUGAAGUAUCUUGUAACACAGGGCAAGUUGUGACAGCAAACACUGGAAGCACCCUGACAAUCCAAGGAGUGCAAAAUAGUUUGAAAAGUCCUCCUGCAGAGCUUUGGAAAGGGAAGAACAUGGCAAGAAAUGUGGAAAGGCCAGGCAUUCGGGAAGAUUCAGAGAAAGCCCUGAGUUUGGAACCUACUGGAGAGCUGAAGAACAUGAGGUACGGAAGGGUAGUGACUCGACGAGCAUUAUAACGCGGCCCCACAGCCAAAAUUGCUAACCAUCCAUUGUGACAUCGAAAAACCUGCCUCUCCCUUCAGGCUGUACAUCUGAAGAACAGUUUCAAUAAACCACCGUGUGUCAUCUACAUAUUUUCCCACUGGGGGAAAAAAUCCUUCUCGAGAUGAUUUUUCACAAGUCAGUCAGGUACAAUUCAUCAUACUCUGAAUGCUAACAAAUUCUGGGGACGCAAAACAUAUAGCAUAUGUAUAAAUAAUUUGACUUUGACUCAGCGGCGUAAACAUUAAUUCAGUGUUUUUUUUAAAAAAAUGAACAACCUUGUUUCCCUGAGUUGUUGUGAUACUUCUUCUCUCCUUCUGGAUUUUUUAUUGGCUCAUUGGUGCCAAUAGGAACGGGUUCUCAAACUGAUUAGCCCCGAGAAAGACUUUGUAAUGAAAUAAAUCUAAAGUAAGGCAUGCUUUCAAUUUUGUUUAGAGGGUUUUUUUUCCCCCCAGCUCUGCUUUGUUUCCCUGAGAAACCUUGGUAUCUUUUGUGUUCUAAAACACGUCCGCUUCUGUGAUUUCAAAGGACAGGAGAACAAAUUCUAUUUGUAACUGGCCAAUUUCAGCUCCUGAGAAAGACCGUGGAGGAAGUGGUAUGUGAAUAAGAUCUGAAUAAAGCUUAUUAUUAGAUCUCAAAGAGAAUCAAUAGAAUCUAAUGUAGUUUUCCUUGCAUCGCAUCAAUAAAGCAACGUUGUUAGGAAGGCAUUACAAUCUUGUCGUCUCUUGUUGGUUUGAAAGCUUGUCUUUUUUGUUGUGGUGGCCGAUUUGCCCCUGGGUCGUCUGUCCCAAGGACUAAUUUGUUUCAUUUCGUGAUGCAUCAUCCCUGCAACCAUAAUGACGGCUCAGAACACCUGGGGAGAUAAACAGAUGUUAUUUUUAUUAUCUGGGCUUUAUAAAUAAAUUUUAACCUAGAGCGAUUACAUGGCCUAAGUCACACAUUCAGCGGCGUGGGAAGGCUGAGGCGUAGUUCUCUGCGAGGAAACCUAAUCUGCUUACAAUCAGACUGAAUCUGGGGGAUCGAAGGCUCGCCCCUUAUUUCACAGCGCUGGUGGUUAGAAAUCUGACAUCAAGGCGUGGGCAGGGUUGGUUCCUUCUGAGGCCACGGGGGAAGGGUCUGUGAGAAAAUACAUUUCUGUUGUUUAAACCACUCCCUGUGGGGCUUGGUUAGGGCAUCCCUAGCCAACUAAUACCGGGGCUGCUGCUGCUGCCACUUUACCGACGAUGAAUGAGAGACCCUGGUCUCCUGACAGUCAGCCCAGUGCCCCAGGAUCAUGCCUGUGGGGCUUACUAUGCCAGAGCCCAGAAAACACAGACAUACCAGCUGUUUGGUGCUCACAAGUUCCAUGUUUAGCUUAGAGAUGCAGUAACUCCACAGCUCCACUCUCCUCUUUGCCCAGCAAUUCCUUGUUUCAACGAUUUUAUUUUUAAGUAAUUUCUACACCCAAUUCAGGACUCAAACUCACAACCCCGAGAUCAAGAGUCGCAUACUCCCCCCACUGAGCCAGCCAGGCACCCCUGAUCAGCAAAUCUUAAUGAGGGAUUUGAAAUUUGGUCAACUCGUCAGAGGCUGACUUGACAUCCUACCUCUCCCUCUCCAGUUCUUUUGCCAGGAAAAGUUUUUGCUGGGAAAUCUCCACUCGUGUCCGGAUUCCCAGAGGCUUUGCCCACCCAAGACACCUCUGUUCUGACAUCCCGUGCUUUGGGGAAAGAGGACCCUUCUGUUCUUGUCAAGCAGGCUGCUCUGUCCCCUGGGGAGGAGCCCUGCAUCUUCACUGGGAUGCCAACGUGAGUCUUUGUCUCUGGAAAUGAUGUGGGGGCUGACAUAGUGUAUCCCGCGGGGCUCUAGGCAGCACUCAAAGGGUGGCCCAUGCAGGAGGCCUGGUUUCCGAGAGGCUCGGUGACUGCUCCACAGUGAGAUGAACGCAGGCGACGGCGAGCCUUCAGCAGCAUCCACACCGAUAUAACAGCAAUGCUACGUCAGUGGAAUCUAAUAAUAAAAAAAGAAAUGAGCUUGAAUUUCAUAUCUUUUUUUACGCAAUAAGGUCCUCUUUCUCAGCACGCAUCAUACCCCGUUGCAAAUAAGAAAGCUUGGCCACAGGUGGUUGGAGCGGCUCAGCCCAGAGGUCAGCACGACUGACGGAGGAGGCACAGAGAUAAUCAAGAGAAGCACAGAGACCAGGUGUUAGAGACCAAAGCCCAAACCUUCACCUUGAUGGAGCUUGGAGGUAGGGCCUUUGGGAGGAAAUGAGGUUUAGAUGAAGUCGUGAGGGUGGGGUGCCCAUGAUGGGAUAGCGUCCCUAGGAAAGGAAAAGAGAGAGACCAGAGCUCUUGCUGUCUCUGCCACGGGAGGGCGCAGGAAGGCGGUGGCCGUCUGCGGGCGGGGAAGAGCCCCCAGGAACCACAUCGGCCAGCACCCUGAUUGACUGACGCUCCCAGCCUGCGGAACUGUGGG
rnacentral:lncRNA from 1 species